rnacentral:ncRNA from 1 species
GUCUCAUUAAUGUUUGAAUUACACCCUUUCCAUAGGUUUGAGUUCCUAUUAUUGUUGCUUUAUUAUGGUCUUUUAAUGCUCCUGCAAAUAUUUCUGAUGCACUUGCUGAACUACCAUUUACUAGAACCACAAUAGGUAUAUCAAUGAUUGGCUCUGCUUCUGAUUUAAUUAUUGUUUCUUUUCCGUCUUUAUCUGUUUCAAUUAAUAAUGUGCUACUAUUAUCGCAUAUCAUUUCGAGCAUAUCUAUAGCUUCGUCUACUACUCCACCGCCAUUACUACGUA